rnacentral:tRNA from 1 species
GGGCUGCUAGCUCAUCCGGUAGAGCGCCGGUCCUGCAAACCGGAGGUGCGGAGUUCAAGUCUCCGGCGGUCCA